UAAAAGGGCUUCAACAACGUUAGUGUUUCGAACAGCAACCUUCAUUGGGCGCUGUUCGCGGAAUCUAAAUCAAGAGAUUUCGGAAGCACAAUUUUUAGAACUGGGAAAGCUGGUAACCGACUGUUCCAGUGUCCCG